rnacentral:rRNA from 1 species
GAUGAACGCUGGCGGCGUGCCUAAUACAUGCAAGUCGAGCGAACAGACGAGGCGCUUGCUCCUCUGACGUUAGCGGCGGACGGGUGAGUAACACGUGGAUAACCUACCUAUAAGACUGGGAUAACUUCGGGAAACCGGAGCUAAUACCGGAUAAUAUAUUGAACCGCAUGGUUCAAUAGUGAAAGACGGUUUUGCUGUCACUUAUAGAUGGUUCCGCGCCGCAUUAGCUAGUUGGUGAGGUAAAGGCUUAUCAAGGGAACGAUGCGUGGCCGACCUGAUGGGCUGGUCGGCCACACGGGAACGUAGACACGGACCAGACUCCUACGGGAGGCAGCAGUAGGGAAUCUGCCGCAAUGGGCGAAAGCCUGACGGAGCAACGCCGCGUGAGUGAUGAAGGUCUUCGGAUCGUAAAACUCUGUUAUUAGGGAAGAACAAAUGUGUAAGUAACUAUGCACGUCUUGACGGUACCUAAUCAGAAAGCCACGGCUAACUACGUG